rnacentral:pre_miRNA from 1 species
AUGUAGGGCAAUCUGUCUUUAAUUAGGGAUAAAUUACUCUAAAAGAAAUGAAUCCUAGGUAGUAUUUUCUCCAAGUUAAGCAUCUUGU